AACGAACGCUGGCGGCAGGCCUAACACAUGCAAGUCGAGCGCCCCGCAAGGGGGAGCGGCGGACGGGUGAGUAACACGUGGGAAUUUUCCUCAAGGUACGGAACAACUCAGGGAAACUUGGGCUAAUACCGUAUGAUGCAGAGAUGCCAAAGAUUUAUCGCCUUGGGAUAAGCCCGCGUCAGAUUAGGUAGUUGGUGAGGUAACGGCUCACCAAGCCUGUGAUCUGUAGCNGGUCUGAGAGGACGAUCAGCCACAUUGGGACUGAGACACGGCCCAAACUCCUACGGGAGGCAGCAGGUGGGGAAUCUUGCGCAAUGGGCGAAAGCCUGACGCAGCCAUGCCGCGUGAA
rnacentral:rRNA from 1 species